rnacentral:rRNA from 1 species
AGCGAACGCUGGCGGCAGGCUUAACACAUGCAAGUCGAGCGCCCUGCAAGGGGAGUGGCAGACGGGUGAGUAACACGUGGGAACGUACCCUUUGGUUCGGAAUAACUUGGGGAAACUCAAGCUAAUACCAGAUAAGCCCUUAUGGGGAAAGGUUUACUGCCGAAGGAUCGGCCCGCGUCUGAUUAGCUAGUUGGUGAGGUAAUGGCUCACCAAGGCGACGAUCAGUAGCUGGUCUGAGAGGAUGAUCAGCCACACUGGGACUGAGACACGGCCCAGACUCCUACGGGAGGCAGCAGUGGGGAAUAUUGGACAAUGGGGGCAACCUUGAUCCAGCCAUGCCGCGUGAGUGAUGAAGGCCUUAGGGUUGUAAAGCUCUUUUACCCGGGACGAUAAUGACUGUACCGGGAGAAUAAGCCCCGGCUAACUUCGUGCCAGCCGCCGCCGUAA